rnacentral:lncRNA from 1 species
GGGACGGCGGCUGGUCUGGUCACACAUGAAGGCUCUGGGACGGGAGGGGGGCAACGGAGACAGCCCUGCAGAAGGGAAAGCGGUUCUCAGGAACUGAAAAGCCACAGGAAAAAGCUGCUUGGUUUCAUUUCUCCCGGAAGAGCUGUGGCCGGAGCUCUCCACGGGCACCCAAGGCAGGCAGACCGCUCGGUCUGGCCGCUCCCAGUCUUGCAGGGUCCCUGCCGCCACCCACCCAGCCCGGCGGCGUGGUCUCACCACCCACCUCCCCAGCACCCUUGGCUGCUGACUUCAGGCUCCAGUCUUCGCCUAGGCUGUUCCCUCUGCUGAGAUGCCCUUCCCACCGCACGCUGAGCCCUGGACCAGGGCCCUGGCUGCCUCACAGCCCCACAGGGGGAAAUGAUGCAGAAGGGGCCCCAGCCCCACCCUGGGCCCAGCCUGUGGCCUAACAGUUGCUCCAUGUUUCCUGUGGGCUGCCAGCCAGAGCAAUUCUGGGGAGGCCAGGGCCGCAGGACUCAUCUUGUCCCCCGAGUCCCUCCAGCCUGAAGCAUGAGCAGCCCUGAGGCACCCACGGAGACUCCCGAGCCCAGUGACCCAGGCCUGCCAGCUCCGCCUGCCUACUGCAACCUUGGGGAGGUCCGGGCCCACCUGCUACCCUCCAAGGCCUGUCGGUCCCGCACCCCCGCGUCCCUCUCCUCCAACUCCCAGCCCCCGCCCCUGCCCAAGAAGACCCUGACCCGGACACAGUCCCUGCCCACUCGCGGGGUCCCCAGCGCCCGCGCGGCACAGCCCCGGAGGCCUCUCCUCGGAUCCCACAGUGUGGACGAGAGCCAGGCCGGGGCGGGCCCUGUUGGGCUCACUGCUGAGCUGAUCUCGGGCAACGAUGACGCCGACGCCACUGCGGGGGAGCCACACAGCCCCGAGGCCUUGCACGCAGCGCUGGCAGCCCGCGAGCUGCAGGGGCUCCGAGUGGUGCACGCGCGGCUCGGGGCGCGGCUCACGGGCAGCCUCCCAGGACCCUGCAGCGCCGGCCACGGCUUCCGCCUGCUGGAGCUGGCGCCCUGUGCCGAGAGCGGGGACGCGCUCUACUACCGUGUGGUACGCGCCGGCGACGACGCAUGGCACGUGCUGGCCGCCAAGGUGCCCAAGCCCGGAGCCGAGGCGCCCCACGCGUGGGGCCUGGAGCUCCAGGCCUCGCUGCCGCCGCACUACAACGUGCAGGGUCUCUGUGGGCUGGUGCCUGAGGGCGCACUGCCCGGGGCGCCCUGGACAGGCGUGCGCUGCUGGCGGGCGAGGUGCCCGAACGCACGGCGGCCCAGUGGCUGGCGGAGUUGGGGCAGCGGCGGCCGGAGGAGCUCGCGUGGGCUGUGGCCUUCACGCUGCUGCAGCUGAGCGCCGCCCUGGAGCUCCUGGAGGCGCGGGGGGCCGCCGUGACCGAGCUGCGCCCCGAAAACCUAAUGCUGGCGACGCCCCGGGGCU